CCUACGGGAGGCAGCAGUGGGGAAUUUUGGACAAUGGGGGCAACCCUGAUCCAGCCAUGCCGCGUGAGUGAAGAAGGCCUUCGGGUUGUAAAGCUCUUUCAGACGGAAAGAAAACGCAUCGGUGAAUACCCGGUGUGGAUGACGGUACCGUAAGAAGAAGCACCGGCUAACUACGUGCCAGCAGCCGCGGUAAUACGUAGGGUGCGAGCGUUAAUCGGAAUUACUGGGCGUAAAGCGUGCGCAGGCGGUUAUGUAAGACAGAUGUGAAAUCCCCGGGCUCAACCUGGGAACUGCGUUUGUGACUGCAUAACUAGAGUACGGCAGAGGGAGGUGGAAUUCCGCGUGUAGCAGUGAAAUGCGUAGAUAUGCGGAGGAACACCGAUGGCGAAGGCAGCCUCCUGGGCCUGUACUGACGCUCAUGCACGAAAGCGUGGGGAGCAAACAGGCUUAGAUACCCUUGUAGUC
rnacentral:rRNA from 1 species